GACUCCAAUUGCAGCUUAAUUGCUAUCAAUCCUGUUAAUUGAAUUGGGCUCUCCUGUGACACUUGGCACUGAAUGAAGGAGGGAAACAGGAAAGGAAAAAAAGGAGAAAUCUGGGAAACAAGCCCAGCUGACCCAAGGGAUGUGGCUGUUGAGAGACGCAGAAGCACGUGGCCCCUGAGCUGGGCAGAAUUGAAGCUGAGAAAGGUACAAAAGUAUCUUUGCAGCAUCUCUUGCUCCCAGCUGCUUUCCUCAGUGGCACAGCACUCCUUCAGCUUUAAAUCAAGAUUACCAAGAUGCUGUAGCAAAUCCAUUGCUAAAGCACCAGGAUCAUCUCUCAUACAGCAGAUCUGAUCCCGCAAUGCAAAAUCCCAAGGAAAUGAAUGGGCUGACUGGAUUCCAGUCCAGGAUUGAGACUAUAUUGUGUAAAUCCAUCAGUAAAGCAUCUACUGAGAAACCCUGUCCUAUGGAACAACAACCUUCAUAUUUCAUCAUUUCUUUGGGAGAGGCCCGAGGAGGGCUGCUUGAUCUUCCAAGUGCCAGGUGGGCUGAGAAAAUGGUUUUUCAUCAAUAACAUUGCUCUUUAUUCUGAAGACAAUGGGGAGUGACAGGGAAAGGAUGAGGAUUCUGCAAUAAGGUUUUUCUACACGAACUGUAAGAGCAAGCUUGAAAUCUUUCAACAGGACGUCAAGCCUGAUGUUUUUCAAGCUUGUCUGAAUGCUUACUGUUUAGAUUCAAAUAGGAUUGCUUUAAUACAAACAGUCCAGCUUCCAGAGGUCUUGACUGAUCCAGGCUUCUCAUUGUCUACUGGGACAAAAUAAUUAAAACAAAAUCCUUUCAGCUCUUUUUGAGAUAUGAAAUGGUAUUAGUGGUAUGCCAGAGUGAUAUCUCUGCCUUAUAAACCAUUCUAAAUAUGGGAAGAAUUCCCCUGUCUAUGUGUAAGGGAAAAUGAAACGAUCCGUUUGUAAUUUUCUUACCUUGACAAAAUGUAGGGAGUGACUCAAAUAUGUCCCAUCCUUAUGGAAAUUAAUUGUGUUAAUGGGAUGAUUAGAAUUUAAAGCUACUGUCAUCAAACUGGUUUUUGUGGCUAAUGAUGGUCCUUGGGAUGAUUAUGUCAUAAUGAAGGCGGAGAACCUGGUCAUCUAUAUAUACAUGAUCUGACCUGAGCCUUUUCUUUGGGUCUCAUUGAGCAAUGCGCUAAUAGAGUCAACGUAGGCAAACAGCUGCCACCCUCACCAUGAAAAUAGAAGGUGCUUCGGUGGUCCUUGCUCUGGCUUUUUUCUGCUUCUUCUCAGGUUAGUAACCUCUGAUGUUCUCUGUGCUGAAAUCUGGGACUGGUACAGCACUUAAAGGCGGUGAGAUAGAGGAUUAGAGAGUCCCUACUAUUUAAAACGAGCAGUGAUGUAACCUGAAGACCAUUUUUACUGUACUACUCGUGGGAUUG